rnacentral:rRNA from 1 species
AGUCACUGACAUUAGAUACCCCUGUAGUCCCAGCCGUAAACGAUGUGCGUUAGGUGUAUCGACGACCACGAGUCGUCGAGGUGCCGAAGGGAAACCGUGAAACGUACCGCCUGGGAAGUACGGUCGCAAGGCUGAAACUUAAAGGAAUUGGCGGGGAGCACCACAACAGGUGGAGCCUGCGGUUUAAUUGGACUCAACGCCGGAAAUCUCACCGGAUAAGACAGCGGAAUGAUUGCCGGGCUGAAGACUCUGCAUGACUAGCUG